rnacentral:rRNA from 1 species
UACGGGGGGGAGCAAACGUUGUUCGGAAUCACUGGGCGUAAAGGGCGUGUAGGCGGCUGGAUAAGUGGGAUGUUAAAUCCCCCCGGCUCAACCGGGGACCUGCAUCUCAUACUGUUCAGCUCGAGCACAUCAGAGGAGACUGGAAUUCCCGGUGUAGCGGUGAAAUGCGUAGAUAUCAGGAGGAACACCGGUGGCGAAGGCGGGGUCUCUGGGGCCGAUACUGACGCUGAGGAGCGAAAAGCGUGGGGGAGCGAACAGG